CUGGAGGUAUCAGAAGUGCGAAUGCUGACAUAAGUAACGAUAAAGCGGGUGAAAAGCCCGCUCGCCGGAAGACCAAGGGUUCCUGUCCAACGUUAAUCGGGGCAGGGUGAGUCGACCCCUAAGGCGAGGCCGAAAGGCGUAGUCGAUGGGAAACAGGUUAAUAUUCCUGUACUUGGUGUUACUGCGAAGGGGGGACGGAGAAGGCUAUGUUGGCCGGGCGACGGUUGUCCCGGUUUAAGCGUGUAGGCUGGUUUUCCAGGCAAAUCCGGAAAAUCAAGGCUGAGGCGUGAUGACGAGGCACUACGGUGCUGAAGCAACAAAUGCCCUGCUUCCAGGAAAAGCCUCUAAGCAUCAGGUAACAUCAAAUCGUACCCCAAACCGACACAGGUGGUCAGGUAGAGAAUACCAAGGCGCUUGAGAGAACUCGGGUGAAGGAACUAGGCAAAAUGGUGCCGUAACUUCGGGAGAAGGCACGCUGAUAUGUAGGUGAAGCGACUUGCUCGUGGAGCUGAAAUCAGUCGAAGAUACCAGCUGGCUGCAACUGUUUAUUAAAAACACAGCACUGUGCAAACACGAAAGUGGACGUAUACGGUGUGACGCCUGCCCGGUGCCGGAAGGUUAAUUGAUGGGGUCAGCGCAAGCGAAGCUCUUGAUCGAAGCCCCGGUAAACGGCGGCCGUAACUAUAACGGUCCUAAGGUAGCGAAAUUCCUUGUCGGGUAAGUUCCGACCUGCACGAAUGGCGUAAUGAUGGCCAGGCUGUCUCCACCCGAGACUCAGUGAAAUUGAACUCGCUGUGAAGAUGCAGUGUACCCGCGGCAAGACGGAAAGACCCCGUGAACCUUUACUAUAGCUUGACACUGAACAUUGAGCCUUGAUGUGUAGGAUAGGUGGGAGGCUUUGAAGUGUGGACGCCAGUCUGCAUGGAGCCGACCUUGAAAUACCACCCUUUAAUGUUUGAUGUUCUAACGUUGACCCGUAAUCCGGGUUGCGGACAGUGUCUGGUGGGUAGUUUGACUGGGGCGGUCUCCUCCUAAAGAGUAACGGAGGAGCACGAAGGUUGGCUAAUCCUGGUCGGACAUCAGGAGGUUAGUGCAAUGGCAUAAGCCAGCUUGACUGCGAGCGUGACGGCGCGAGCAGGUGCGAAAGCAGGUCAUAGUGAUCCGGUGGUUCUGAAUGGAAGGGCCAUCGCUCAACGGAUAAAAGGUACUCCGGGGAUAACAGGCUGAUACCGCCCAAGAGUUCAUAUCGACGGCGGUGUUUGGCACCUCGAUGUCGGCUCAUCACAUCCUGGGGCUGAAGUAGGUCCCAAGGGUAUGGCUGUUCGCCAUUUAAAGUGGUACGCGAGCUGGGUUUAGAACGUCGUGAGACAGUUCGGUCCCUAUCUGCCGUGGGCGCUGGAGAACUGAGGGGGGCUGCUCCUAGUACGAGAGGACCGGAGUGGACGCAUCACUGGUGUUCGGGUUGUCAUGCCAAUGGCACUGCCCGGUAGCUAAAUGCGGAAGAGAUAAGUGCUGAAAGCAUCUAAGCACGAAACUUGCCCCGAGAUGAGUUCUCCCUGACUCCUUGAGAGUCCUGAAGGAACGUUGAAGACGACGACGUUGAUAGGCCGGGUGUGUAAGCGCAGCGAUGCGUUGAGCUAACCGGUACUAAUGAACCGUGAGGCUUAACCUU
rnacentral:rRNA from 1 species